GUUCAACGUCAAGCAGACCGGGACGGUUUCAGUGCAGUGGAAGCAAAUUACAUUUCUCGCUAUAUAGUUGCCGGGUAUUGUGUGGUCUGACCGAUAACGAGGCAAAAUGAAAAAAGUGAUGGCUACAGCUAACAUCGCGAUGCGUAGCUAGUGGAAUAUUAUGAGAUCGGCCUUUCUUUGAUCCAGGCAUGCAGUUCGGUGUGGCAUUUUUGAUGAUCCUGUUGAGUUGGUGGUGUGGUAGCAACAAUGGUGUGCUAAGCAGCGGGGUGACCGGCAAGGCGCCGGUGGUUUUCCCCCUAUUUCUGUCCGGACAGGCUGGAUAGUUAUGCUGACGCCGUGGGAUACACUGCUACACAACCAUCCACACCAACAGAACAGUAGGGUAAUUAGGCUAAGUUCAACAAUAAAAAUGUAAGUACUCUUUAUUUCACUCCAUAUUUCUUGUGAGACUAGAACUUUUCUUUUGGUUUGGGAAAUUGGCUCGCUUAAUUCUGCGUGGUGGUUCCGCUUUUCGAACCUGAUUCCAGCUGCAGGUCAAGUAUUAGGGUCGUGGGACCAAUACUAGCUGCAUCUG